rnacentral:pre_miRNA from 1 species
GAAAUGCUCCCUCCGUCCCAAAAUAAGUGUCGCAAAUUUUGUACUAAGUUAGUAAAAAUUUAGUACUAAAGCAGCGACACUUAUUUUGGGACGGAGGGAGUAUAAG